GCUACGCACAACCCGCGUGGGGGCAAGUGCUGAGCGGACGCUGCCGGCCGCGUGGAGGCUCGGAGGAAGCAGGUGCCCAGGCGAGGCUCUUGCAGAUUUAGAUCCAGUCCGCGUCCUCCCACCUAGGGCAAGCUCUGGGCAAGACUGGGCCACCGUUACCUCGCUCUCACCCCACCCUUCCCGCCCCAACUCUCCUGCUCCUCGCCAAUGCCUGGAUCCUUCCUGGGAGAAUUAUGGUUUCGGGAACCAAGGGACAAGGACCCCAAAAUCAGAGAGAGGAGGUCGUUUGUUGGUGGCCCUACAGCAAGCUGAGACCCAGCUCCCCAGCCUCCUGACUUUCAGCCCAGCACUCUGCCCACACCCCACGCUGCUGCGCGUGCAGCCACUCAGUGACUAACCAGGGAGGAGGGGGCUGCAACGAGCUCCCACCGAAAUAGGCUGCUGCCUGUGCGUGAUUAUGUUGCUAUGAGAACCUCAGUGGGUGUGUUUCCUCCGUUCGCUGUCGAAAUCUUUUGCUUGGCUUGGCUUCUCCCCAAGCAUAGACACGGCUCCCCUUGGAAUGGGGAGUGGAGAGGCUGAGAUAGGGAACUACGUUUUCACAGCAACAGUUUUCUAGCCCAGCCCACCCUACCAGAGCCUGCCUGGGGCUGUGAGUAAGGAGCCCAGGCCACCAGGGUGGUUCCAUAAAGGCUGGGAGGAGAAGAGUGAACCAUCUCGACAGUGGCUACUUCAUCCCCCUUUUGAGCCAUCUUGGAACAGAGACAUGCUGUCCCUACUAUGCAACCACCUAACUACAAAUUCACAAACAAAAUAACUGUUACUUUAAGAGAC